GAUUUCGGUAAUUUUCUCCUGUUAACGUAUCUGGCAAAGAUGGGAUUCUGAAGCAGCCCCUGAAUUCCUUUUCCUGUGUCACCCAGGACACCAGGUACAGCCAAGGUCCCUUUGAAAAAGUCCAGUUGUUCCUGACUAUGCUGGGAAAGGAUCUGGGUAAGUGCUAUCAAAAUCCAAGAUCUCCCACUUUUAGGUUGCAGACUUGAUUUCUUCUUUUAGGCCUCCUCCAUCUGUGGAACUCCGGAGGAGACCCUCCUGCUGGCCUUGGGUUUGGGAGGGCAUUCCUAGUUCUUCUCAGUCCUUUCUGUUCUCCUCCCUGGACCCCGGAGGGAACAUCUCUCCUAGCCUUGGGUUUGGAGGAGGCCUUCCUGAUUCCCUCCAUCCAAGGGCCCUGGAGAAAAUGCAUUUGUGGGCUCCGGGCUUAUGGAGAGGCAUUCAGGUUGGAUUCAACUGGUUCAUAAGGUUUGUGGGGAUGCUCACACUAAGGGCACUGGAAGAGAUAUCUUCAUAAAGUCAGUGCAAUAGGUAACUUACCCACUAGGGGCAGGAACUCCUGUAGAAGUUCAAAGGCAUGCCAGGUUUUCCAGCACUUCAGCUAGCUGCAUAUUGUGGCCUGUUCUUGUGCACAUUUUAAAACUGAACGGGCAAAUUACAGCAAGGAAAAUUCAGAGCUCAAAUGCCCAACCUGCAACUAUACAAUUAAAAUGUAGAGUUUUCUAAAGCUAUCUCUUUUUUGUUUUCGGCCUGCUUUGAAUUUGCUGUUAUUAAGCUACUGCUGUUAAGAUAAAACUCAUUGUUUAUGAUACUACUAAUUCAAGGCUACUUGGAGCUUUCUUUACAGUUCAGCCAAUUGUAGCUAAAAUGUAAACACUGAAAACUCAUUUGAAACUUCAGGAAAAAAAAAAGGGGUAAAAGGUUUUUAAAAAUAAAACUGCCAUGAAAACUACUUUUCCCAAGACUUUGGUCCAUAGCCUUCAUUGGAUUACCUACUGGGACAAAUAAAGUUUAGCCAUGUGAACAGGUCCCAAUUUUGUCAGAAAUAAUUUGGAUCCAGCUGUCUUUUGUUAAGUGGUGAGUCUGUAUUACCAUCUCAUGGCUAAGGUUCCAGAGUAAAAGCUGUAAGAUCUUUGUGUGUAUGUGUUUAAAUGUUUGUAUAUGAACAUGUAUUAUGUUGUGUUGUAUCUAGCAUGGUACCAAACUGGUUUAUAAGUAAAUUAUACUCAUAAAUUAAGUAAGUCCAAAUACUUUUCAGAUUCAUGUGAACUUAGUAAUCUGGUAAAUAAAAUGGUUUUAAAAUUAUUGGUAAAAUAAAACUAGAAAUGUCUUCAGAAUUGUCAGCAUACAUUUUUUUUUUAGUCUGGGUUUACUGAUUAUUUUAUAUUUGCCUCCGCUAGGUGUUUUAAGGUAUCAGGAUUUGGCACAAAAGAUUAUAAGACUAUAAACCCAGUCAAAAAGAGAAUGAUCUUUGUGUGAAUUUUUUGACAAAUAAGACUAAUUUAAUAUUGUUGGUUCAAUGAAAACAGCUAAGUUGUUAGCUGUUUUGUUAGCUUCUGAGUUGUUGGCAAAAAUAUCCACAUGUUUAAGGUUCUGACUUAAAUGAACAUCUGAUAUUCACAGGCUACAAAAAUGGUUAACAGGUCAUACAGGUUACUAAACAGCUGAUGACUCGUCACAUAGAACUUACAGGUAAGUCACUGUUGUAACCUUGCUUUUUGGCUCUUCUGUUGCUCAAAAGGUUUUUAAGGGUUAAUGAGUGCCUGUUCACCUCCAUCCUCAUCUGGCCUAGAAUGUUUAAUUGGCUCCAAGUCCCUUGGCCAUAAGGAUCCCACCAAAGAACAGAAUGAACCUGCAGCAGGUAGCCACACCACCCCGGCAAAGAUAUGGGAAAAAAUAAAUGUUUGGUCACCAAUGUCAUCUCUGGCACAUCUUGGCUAAAAGGGGAGAAUGUAAACUCAGCCUCCCAAAGUGCUGGGAUUACAGACAUGAGCUACCAUGCUUGGCCAGAAACACGUUUCUAAAAAUUGUGACGUGAUUCUCAUCUUUAAAGUGCUGAUAGAGAACAGACAAUUCAAUAUUUCUUGCCUCCUAGGUUUUCACUAAAAUUUAAGGUUACUAAGAGUAAGAAUUUUAGUUAAUAUAGAAUUCUAUAUAUAAAAUGUGCCAAAUAAAUGUGUUCUUAUGGAGAAAAAGAAUAAUUUUAUUUAAUUUGGAUGUUAUUUAAAGGUUAGUUAUGAAAGAAGGUAGAAAACCAGUAAGUAGGAGAGAUGUGAAAAAAGUUAGCUAUGAAGAUGUAUUUUUGGUAAGGAAGGUUCAAAAGAGAAUAAUUUCAUAUAUGAAAGUAUCUUGCAGGGUAAAUUUCUGUCCUAAAGUAAAAUGACUGGUUAUUAAGGAAAGGGGAAAUUUAGUACAAAUCAGAAAGUACAAGCAUGUUAUAGAUGGUCUAAGUUGUGAUAAGGUUUGUGAGAGAAUACUUAUGAAAAGCAUUUUGUGUGGGAUUAAGUUGGCUAUAAUUAAAAUUAUUUAUAAAAGUCUUUCUAAAUUUUGGUCCCUUGUUUUAAAAGAAAGUUGUCUUAAAAUAUGAUUUACUCUUAAUACAAUUAAAAGAGGUUUUGAUUUUUAAUUCUAAACCUGUUUCUUGUUGAAAACUUCUCAGAUUAGUAUCUUGGAAGUUCCACUUUUGCUGCGUCUUGCUACUUUGUUUUUCUCCCCCUUUGAGAAGGCCUGAGAUGAUAACUUUUCCCUUCAACUGUUUUGCCAGCUCCUGUAACUUUUUCCCUCUGGUUCUAACUGCCACUGUGGCCUGAUGCUAAAAUGUUUUAUCUUGAAGGUCUCGAAGAGCAAUGUUUUCCUACAGUAUACCUUGAUUCUGUACUCUUGGCUUUUCCUGAUAUCCGAAUUGUUCCAUAUAACCAGAAAACUUCCCAUGCUGUUAUUAAGAGUCAUGUAUUCCCCGGCUCAAGGUACAGUUUUCUAGUUUCCUGUUUCCUCCAUAACAUAAAGUUCAUUCAUGACCCCAGACACACUCUUCUUGUGUCUGAUUAAUUCAAGUAAACUUUUUACAGUUUGAUUUCCAAGUUAUCUAAAUGGGCUUCUCAUAGGAGAAGCAACCACACUGUAGGUUUUUCUUUGCCUUUUUGGUAACUGGCCUAAGAACCAAAGAUUUUACAUUUUAUCAAGAUAAUUCCCAUGUUUUCUUUAUUAGAUUUUUUAUUACUUAGGAAAACUAAGCUUUAAAAGGGUUAAGGUUUUUACAUCCAUGUGACUUUCCAUAUUGCAUUUAAAGUCUUUUGAUUAUUACUCUUGGUUUAAUGAAUAACUAUUACAAUGACCUGUAAUUCCAUUUUGAUUAAAAGCUUUGAGCCUUUGAACAUCUUUGACAAAUGUCCUCAAAAUCAAAUAAACAUUGCUAAUUCUUCAUGUUUUGCUUUUCAGAGUCAAUAAAACCUUUUUUCUUUUAAACUAUUUACAGCUUACAGAAAUUGGGUAAAACAUUGAAGAUUACCUUUCUCUCUACCUAGUAUCUCUAGAAUUUGAAAACUAUUCAAUCCCCCUAGGCCAAUCUGCUUUCCAUUGCCAAGGCACUACUGCUAAAGCAAUACAGUAUCAAGCACCCUCCCAGUAGGCCCAUGGACUAUCACAGAAGGGGUGGGCACAUGAGAUUGUAAGGGCCAGUUUCAACAGAUAAAAUUAGUUCAGACCCUCCAAAUUAAAGAUGGGCAUACAGAUUACCAAACAGCUCAUGGCUCAACACACAGAACUCAUAGACAAGUCACUUUUGUAACACUGCUUUUUGGUUAUGUUGCUCAAAAGGUUUUUAAGGGUUAAUGCGUGCCUGUGAACCUCCAUCUUCAUCUGGCCUCCAAUGUUUAAUUAGUUUUAAGUCUUUUGGUUCCAAGUCCCUUGGCCACAGGGAUCCCACCAAAGAACAAAAUGAGCCUGGGGCAGGUAACGACACCACCCUGGCAGUGACAUGAGACAAAAUAAAUGUUUGGUCAUCAGUGUUGCCUCUGGCACAUCUUGGCUAAAAGGGGAGAAUGUAAACUAAAAAUAAAAUCCUAAGACUCCUCCCCUACAGAUUGAAUGGACCCCCUCUUGGCCAAGGGGACCCCAGAAAAUUCUUAAAAACGGAGUUCCCAGCCAUGACAGGACAGCAGGUUAGACACGACUUGUUAUACUCCCCUCCCUUUUCUGGUUUACAGACAAUUGACCCGCAUUAAAGUUAAAAUAGAGAUCCUAAGAUUGACAGAACAGAUUCUUUGUGGCAGCAACAUAACAAAUUACCAUGCCAGGCAAGGGUUAAGUUAUGCACCCCUACGCUUAAAGAAUAAACUAGGUUCUAACUGCAACAAGGAUUCUCUUUCUCUCUAGCAGCUAAACAAGCAGUGGCCUCACCAUAAACACUAAUAAAACACUUGCAGCCCUACCAGAUGCUGACUAACUGAACUCUACCAGCCAUAACUAUAGCUUUGACUGGACAAGAGAGUGAUUUCAGUAACUUUCUCCUGUUAAGAAGCCCACCGACCAUGGACUGGUUCUAGUGGGUUUACAGAGAUUGCGUACUUGAGUGCCUUCCUGUCCUGAAAAACCUUUUGAUGUACUGGGCCUGAUUGUAAUAUUUAAAUGUCGAGUCUUCUCUGUGAGAUGAACAUGGGUCAUAUGUAACAUACUUGUUUAAUAUGCAUUCAUCAGGACCACCUUUAUGAACAUUCACAGCUCUUCCUGUAACCUACUGAAUAUGCAUAUUUAGAUAACUUUUUCAGCAUAAAGCUCCAAGCCAACCCCUCCUCCUUUGAAGUGCCUGUCUCUGGGCUUCUGCUAGAGGAGGCUGUGCUUCCCAGCUUGCAAGAUAACCUGACAGGCUAUAACUCUUAAGAAGUAAUAGUUUCCUCUCUCCUUUUCCAAACUUACAGAUUUGUGAUUUUAAAAAGUUAACAUGACUUACUCCAUUGGGAGUGUUACUUAAAUGAACUGAUUUUAAAUCUCAAACAUACCAAUUACCAUACAUAUGGUAAAACUGAAGUCUGUGAGGGUAAAGCAAUUUCUCUGAGUUUCCACAGUAAGUGAAGGCUCUUCAAAGUGCCAUGCUGUUCAUCAACUUCGGAUGCUCUGCAAGUGGAGAUCUCUCCCUCAGGCAGUGGCAGGAAGAGACUCUGCCCAUCUCACUUCUGCCCACUUGAUACAAUGCUUUGGGAUUAUUUCUCCCCUCUUUCCACAGAAGAACAUCAGGAGUGGAUUGUUAUGUUUCUAUAUUACUUUGCAUGGGUCUCAUUCCUCAGCUUUUUCUGGUACAAGGUAGACUCUAAUCUUGAGGUGAGCACAUUCUAUUCUAUUCAUCUCCUCUAGGACACAAGCCACAGGAAUUCAGUGUUGACAAAGAUAGUUCUUGGUGUUGCUAAAGCUGCAGAAAUGACAGGAAGGACUCAGGAGAGAUUCUGCUUUUUUUUUUUUCCCCCAGCUCCUAUCAGACAUUCCCAGGUGGGGCUGGGGUAUUAUACCAUCUGGCUUCAGAAAUGCUCUAAGACUCCCUUUUACCCCUACCAUCUGCCAACUUCUGUCAACACAAACUGCUAAGAAAGGGAACCUAUUUUUCAGCCUAGUAUUCUUACUAUGGCAGAGAUAGAGAAAAGUCAUGCACAUAUUACAUAAGAUUGUCAAGAUCUGCCAGGGAUUCACCCUCUGCCUCUGAGCAAGACUGUUUCUAACACGAAUAGGAAGACUACCAGAGAAGGGAGAGAGAAAUCUGUUUCCUGUUUUCAAAAUCUCCAGAGGAGAUCCCUCAGCCAAGGAGAAGAGUCUUAACCCUAGUAACACACACAGCAUCCUUGAAACAAACAACAAAAGCGAUGUGGCCACAAGGAUAUGUGUGUAAUUCUUUGAUGGUGUGUUUGAUCUCGCCCCAGUUUGGCCUCACUUAAACUCAAAUCCAACAGCUUGGAAUGCAAUUUUAAAAUUCUGAGCAAUGACAAAUGUCUCACACAUGCUACCUUUUGUGCUUUCCUGGCCAAGCUGUUAUCUGCAGUUAUUUUCAAGAACAGAGUUCAUUUUUGUUCUUAUUUCUGAAUGGGGAAUUAUAUAAGGCUUGAUUUUGGCCACAGUGGAGGCAUGGAAGUUCAACCUAAGGAGGAGCAGAGUUUGCUAUCGCCUACAUUUGAUUGAUUUCAGGUUUAAACAGCAAGGCAUGAAGAUAAUCCAGAGAUGACCAGACUCUCUCUGGACAGCCUGUUUUCACCCUUGCCCUCCUUGAAACAGGUCACAUUCACAGCACUUACAUGCAUCCCCUAAAAAUACCAACUCCAAGCACAUUAGUGAAAUGGAUGUUGCACUGAAUACUCAGUGGGGAGAUGAAAAUUCACUCAACCCCACAGGAUAACUUAAGACUAGGAUGCCUAUGGACACUUGUGCUUCCCCAAGCCCCUAAAGCUGCCCUCCCCUGCAGCUGUCCAUCGCUGUUGUCUUUACCCACCUCCAUCUCUAAAACUCUCCCCUUAUUUAAAGAUAAUCUUUAUCAACACCAAAGCCAGUAACCAGCCAGAACACCUCCCCUACCACCAAGUUUCCCCAGGGUGCCAUCUUCCUUCUGCUUUCCUCUCCUAUCUCAGUGCCACUGCAAUCCCUGAAGUAGUUCAUCAACGUAUUUAUCCAACAAACUAGAUCUGUUCCUAAGGGGAAUUCUGCUGCAAAAUAAAUUUUAGUUUUCAUCCUAUUUUACCAAGCCAUUAAUAUAUGCUGUUAGCAGUAUGUGCUCAUUAAUCUUAACAAUAACCCUGUAAGCUGUUAUAAUUCCCAGCAUACUGAAAAGGUAACAGGGAGGGGCGUAGAGAAAUUCAGAGACUUACCCAUGCUAAGACUCCCGUUCCAGGUCUGCCAGGGUCCUUACCCACACAAGCUGCAGUGCAAAGGUGGGUGGCCCUGGGCAAUGUAAAAUGGGAGGAUGUGGAUAGGGCUUGGGUCUGGAGCUGCUUUCUCAACACUCCAAGCAGUACCCGUUCGCAUAUUCAAGCAGCUCCUGUGAGUUCCCUUUGGCUGAGAAGUUUCUGUCCUCUCCUGGGCCACCCUGCCCACAGAUAAAAUGCAAGUGAUUUAUUUUGUUGCUUACAAAGGUUAAGGGACUUGUGAAGGCCACAUAACUGUUAAAUGCUAUUGACACCUGGACUUAAUAAACCUAAUAGUAUCUAACAUCCAGGUGGCUAUUUGAAGCAUUAUGCCAUUAUGCCUCUUGAAAGGAAGUCUAGUCCUGGGUUAUGUUUAAAGGAGCAUUUCUUUCCUUUCCAAAAUGACUGCAGAAAGCCAACUAUCUAAGCAGGGAUUAGCAAUUCUACUUCUGAUCAGGGGAACUGACCUAUAUGGGGUAAAAGUGUGGGAUGGGGGAAGUCCCAUUUCCCCAUCACCCUCCUAAUAUUCCCCUGCCUGCUAUAGGGAGGACUUAGAAAAAUGGCUGGAGACUGAGCUAUAUUUAUUAGGGGUCAUUAAAACCCCUAAAAGGUUGUUUAAACAUCAUAUGCAUUUCCACUUCCUGCUCCAUGCUGUCAACCAGGCACAAGUACCAGGGCCUACUUUUUUUUUUUUUUGAGAUGGAGUCUUGCUCUCUCGCCCAGGCUGGAGUGCAGUGGUGUGAUAUCGGCUCACCGCAACCUCUGCCUCCCAGGGUCAAGUGAUUCUCCUGCCUCAGGUUCCUGAGUAGCGGGUAUUACAGGCGCCCACCACCACACCCGGCUAAUUUUUUGUAUUUUUAGUAGAGAUGGGGUUUCGCCAUGUUGGCCAGGCUGUUCUGAACUCCUGACCUCUAGUGAUCCGCCUGCCUCUGCCUCCCAAAGUGCUGGGAUUACAGGCGUAAGCCACUGCGCCCAAGGGCCUACUCUUUCCAAGCAGGCCCAAUGAGACGUUCUUCCCUGUCUCAGGCUUGGAAGCCAGAUGGUGGUAAGAUCUGGAUGUAGGAGGCAGAGGACAAACCUAAGCCAUGAGCCACAACCUAGCUGUUCCAAAGAUCUCUGAAAUAAGCUAAUACAAAGCAGUAUGUUGAUUUCCAUUUUGCUGUCUGCUCCUUGUGCAUUUAGCUCCAGGAGGGAGUUAAUAGGAGAGGGGUGAGUGGCAAGGCAGGAUAUGGUCAUUCCUUGGGCCCUGGUUGUGAUACUAACUUAAUAUAAUCAAAACCUAGGGUGACCAUAUAUCUAUAAUCCAUACCAGGACAAUUCUGAGAACAAAAAAGAGCACUAUUAAUUAUGCUAAGACAACAAUCCAUCCUCCAUAGCUGGAAUGCAUGGUCACCCUGUUAAAAAGUAAGAAAACCUACCCUGGGUCCUACCCUUACCUUUGAUCACAUGGAGACUUUAAUUUUUAUGUAUAACUAGAUGAGAAAACCUAAGUCCAAUAACAAUAGAUCAUUACAAAGAAAACAGCACUGGAAUACUCAAGGUCUUAGAAGAAAUAAGGUUAAAAUAAAAAAACAGCAGCAGACCUAUUUAAAAGUUGUUUUGUGGCUGGGCGCAGUGGCUCAUGCCUGUAAUCCAAGCACUUGGGGAGGCCGAGGUGGGGAGAUCAUUUAAGGCCAGGAGUUCGAGUCCAGCCUGGCCAACAUGGAGAAACCCCGUCUCUACUAAAAACACAAAAAUAAGCCAGGGGUAGCGGUGCAUGCCUGUAAUCCUAGGUAUUCGGGAGGCUGAGGCAGGAGAAUCACUUGAACCUGGUCAGUGGAAGUUGCGGUGAGCCAAGAUUGAGCCACUGUACUCCAGCCUCGGUGACAGAGUGAAACUCUGUCUCAAAAAAAAAAAAAGGUUAUGUUCUGCCCAGGCCCUCUAUUUGAAGUUUUCAUGAAACCAUCUCAUUUGUGGAAAGCAUUUUAGUUUAGAGUACUUCUACGGGCAUGCUCUAAGCCUGUGAGGCAGGUCACAGGUUUAGCACCAUGACAGAAGCUGUGCAGCAAGCAGCAGAGGCAAGACUCAAGUCCAGUAUCUGGGUUAGCCCAGUGUUUCCUCCCGUACCCAUGCUGUGACCCCUCAUGGCCUCUGCUCUGCAUGGGCCACAAGCUUGUGUCCUGAACUUAGAAUAUCUGGGGGAAGGCAGAGGACAACAUGAAAUGACGCCCAUGGGAGACAGGGAACCAAAAGGAACAUCUGUUGCCUGAAUCAAAAUUAACUGCAAAGCCAGUCAUUAGCACUGCACAUCAUCAAAACAGGAGAGAUCUGUGUCCAUUUAUUUUCAAAGCCAUCCUGGACUUGGCGGGAAAAAAAAAUGCUGCCUAAUCCCAACACGAUUUUUCAAAUAGUUUUCCAAGAUUCUAAAUCUUAUAUGUAAAUUAACUGGCAAAGGAUUAAAACCCAACAUUUAAAAUAGUGGUACUUAAUGAGGGGCAGCACAUACCUUCAAGGGGGCAUUUGGAAAUGCGUAUGGUCAUUUGAGUUGUGACUUGGGUGGGGGGGUCACAAAGAGGAUGACUCCUCUUCAAGUCAAUAAAUUUCAGUGACAUAGAAGAAAAAGGUGACCGGGUCCAUAGUCAGUGACUUGCAAUCACAGACAAGCCUAUCAUUUGUGGGAUUACUGGGCUUCUGAGAAGCAGCCCAUGGUGGAUUGACGACAAUACAGCACUUGCUGUCCUCCAGGGCUACACUCAGCAGAACACCUGGGAGUUCUGUAGAUCUGCCAAUCUCAUUUCACGGAAAUGGGACUGUGAUGUGUUCAUGCAAAACACGCUGUCCCUACUCAAAACAGUACGCUCUGAUGAAGUCUACAUAGCACAUAUACUUCACCUGUAUGAAAUGGAUUUGGAAAUUACAUGACUCAUUUAGUUCUUCCUCUCCUUAGCCUGUGAAACUAAUUUCUUCCUUGAGGUAUUGAGAUUUAGGUAAAACAGGGUUAGAGAAGCACAAAUAAUCCUGCUGCAUUCAAACUAAGUCAAAAAGUAUCAGAAGAUCUAAAGGACUAACUUGAUUUAAACUUUUCCUGGCAUGACAAAAAGACUGACGUUUCCCAAAAGAAAUUCCCCAAACUGCCAAAGACAGGGGCUGCUGAUGGAGCCAUACUUACUGAGCUGAUUCAUAUUGCUGGGAGGAUCUGAUGAGAAUAAUGAAGAUUUCAGAGAUCAAAGUUUCCACUCUCUGUGGUUCUAAGAAUGUCUCAGUUUUGUCCAAGUCACAAACAACCCCUGGGCUUUAACUAUCUAACCAGAAACUAUAUGUCAUCCUCUGUUGGGGUUACUUUAAAUGAGCACCUGUAUGUCAAGUUUGAUGCAAGUGUGUAUAGUAUUGAGAGGAUGUCCUAGAAGCCCAAAGUAAAGCACUCCUUUCUCUCCUCAGCUAAAUGAAUGAUGUUCUAUCUUGCAGAUCCAUUUUCAAUCAAUGGAUAAGGGUGUUCAAUUCUCAGCAGAGCACUGAAGAAGUCUUUUGCAGACAAUAAUUAGCAGCAAUUCACAGAGAGAUGAGUCAUUUAUGCCUUUAAUGUUACAUGUACAAAACUGUGUAUUAGUGACGACUUAUGAGGGUGCUGAAGACA
rnacentral:lncRNA from 1 species